UGGCGAGCCUUGACUCUUGGCACUGGAAGAAUUCACAGACAGUUUUUUUAAAGAUCGUGGAUCUUUUGGUGCCAAACUUUACGGCUCACCC
rnacentral:pre_miRNA from 1 species